rnacentral:rRNA from 1 species
GAUGAACGCUGGCGGCGUGCCUAAUACAUGCAAGUCGAGCGAACGGACGAGAAGCUUGCUUCUCUGAUGUUAGCGGCGGACGGGUGAGUAACACGUGGAUAACCUACCUAUAAGACUGGGAUAACUUCGGGAAACCGGAGCUAAUACCGGAUAAUAUUUUGAACCGCAUGGUUCAAAAGUGAAAGACGGUCUUGCUGUCACUUAUAGAUGGAUCCGCGCUGCAUUAGCUAGUUGGUAAGGUAACGGCUUACCAAGGCAACGAUGCAUAGCCGACCUGAGAGGGUGAUCGGCCACACUGGAACUGAGACACGGUCCAGACUCCUACGGGAGGCAGCAGUAGGGAAUCUUCCGCAAUGGGCGAAAGCCUGACGGAGCAACGCCGCGUGAGUGAUGAAGGUCUUCGGAUCGUAAAACUCUGUUAUUAGGGAAGAACAUAUGUGUAAGUAACUGUGCACAUCUUGACGGUACCUAAUCAGAAAGCCACGGCUAACUACGUGCCAGCAGCCGCGGUAAUACGCAGGUGGCAAGCGUUAUCCGGAAUUAUUGGGCGUAAAGCGCGCGUAGGCGGUUUUUUAAGUCUGAUGUGAAAGCCCACGGCUCAAUCGUGGAGGGUCAUUGGAAACUGGAAAACUUGAGUGCAGAAGAGGAAAGUGGAAUUCCAUGUGUAGCGGUGAAAUGCGCAGAGAUAUGGAGGAACACCAGUGGCGAAGGCGACUUUCUGGUCUGUAACUGACGCUGAUGUGCGAAAGCGUGGGGAUCAAACAGGAUUAGAUACCCUGGUAGUCCACGCCGUAAACGAUGAGUGCUAAGUGUUAGGGGGUUUCCGCCCCUUAGUGCUGCAGCUAACGCAUUAAGCACUCCGCCUGGGGAGUACGACCGCAAGGUUGAAACUCAAAGGAAUUGACGGGGACCCGCACAAGCGGUGGAGCAUGUGGUUUAAUUCGAAGCAACGCGAAGAACCUUACCAAAUCUUGACAUCCUUUGACAACUCUAGAGAUAGAGCCUUCCCCUUCGGGGGACAAAGUGACAGGUGGUGCAUGGUUGUCGUCAGCUCGUGUCGUGAGAUGUUGGGUUAAGUCCCGCAACGAGCGCAACCCUUAAGCUUAGUUGCCAUCAUUAAGUUGGGCACUCUAAGUUGACUGCCGGUGACAAACCGGAGGAAGGUGGGGAUGACGUCAAAUCAUCAUGCCCCUUAUGAUUUGGGCUACACACGUGCUACAAUGGACAAUACAAAGGGCAGCGAAACCGCGAGGUCAAGCAAAUCCCAUAAAGUUGUUCUCAGUUCGGAUUGUAGUCUGCAACUCGACUACAUGAAGCUGGAAUCGCUAGUAAUCGUAGAUCAGCAUGCUACGGUGAAUACGUUCCCGGG